rnacentral:tRNA from 1 species
GCACCGAUAUCGGCAAAAAAGCGCGGUUCAGGUCCGUGUUCCGCAAGGAGUGGAGGUUCGAGUCCUCUUCUGGGCACCA